rnacentral:tRNA from 1 species
GUUAAGGUGGCAGAGCCCGGCCAUGCAGGAGUCCUAAGCCCUCCUUACAAAGGUUCAAAUCCUUUCCUUAACU